rnacentral:rRNA from 1 species
GCGAUCAUACCAGCACUAAUGCACCGGAUCUCAUCAGAACUCCGAAGUUAAGCUUGCUUGGUCGAGAGCAGUACUAGGAUGGGUGACCCCCUGGGAAGUCCUCGUGUUGCACCU